rnacentral:rRNA from 1 species
UACGGAGGGGGCCAGCGUUGUUCGGAAUCAUUGGGCGUAAAGGGCGCCUAGGUGGCUGAGCAAGUCGGACGUGAAAGCCCCCGGCUCAACCGGGGAAUUGCAUCCGAUACUGCCUAGCUUGAGUCCUGGAGAGGGUAGCGGAAUUCCCAGUGUAGCGGUGAAAUGCGUAGAUACUGGGAGGAACACCGGUGGCGAAGGCGGCUACCUGGACAGGUACUGACACUGACGCGCGAAAGCGUGGGGAGCAAACAGG